rnacentral:rRNA from 1 species
GAUGAACGCUGGCGGCGUGCCUAAUACAUGCAAGUCGAACGAAGUACAAGAAGCUUGCUUCUUGUAACUGAGUGGCGAACGGGUAAGUAAUACAUAAGCAACCUGCCUUAAUGCCUGGGAUAACAGUUGGAAACGAUUGCUAAUACCGGAUAAUUUCUUGAGGUCGCAUGGCCAUGGGGUAAAAGAAAUUCGGUUUGGGGUGAGCUCGCGUCCGAUUAGCUAGUUGGUGAGGUAACGGCCCACCAAGGCGACGAUCGGUAGCCGACCUGAGAGGGUGAUCGGCCACAUUGGAACUGAGACACGGUCCAA